GUGUAGAACUAAAGAGACCUUGGAUUAUGUGACACGUGUUUCUACUUUAUUAGGUGAAUGUCAUUAGCCUCUUCAGGCUUUAUACGGGGAUGGAAGAUCAGCGGCUCUUUGGGAAUCCUCAGGACUUCAGUGCCAGGUUGAGCCUACUAAGACAUCUAGCCUUGGGGACUAAGCAUCUACUGUAAUCUUGAAUUCUCCUCUGUGAGACAGAGUAUCCCAUACUAAAGUUGAAAAUGGGCUAAGUGGCAAAUGUAGGAACACUGAGCUGACAAAUGGGGUAGAUAGGUCAGAAUAUCUGUUAGGAGCACUGCAGGAGGACCACAUUAGACCAAAGAGCCUUCUAUGCUGCAUAGAAGAUGCCAAGCCUAUUUCCAAGCUGGCAAGUAGGACUGGCAUUUCAUCCAGAGACCGCUCCACGCACCUUCUUGGCAGCAGAUGCAAAGGGAGAAGAAAGCUUCCAAGUUGGAAGGAGCCAAACUCCAACUACAGUAAAUAUGUUGGACCCAGGAAGGGAUUAGAAGAGAAGCAAAUCGUG
rnacentral:lncRNA from 1 species